CGUCAAAUCAUCAUGCCCCUUAUGACCAGGGCUACACACGUGCUACAAUGGCGUAAACAAAGAGAAGCGAAGCUGUGAGGUGGAGCGAAUCUCAGAAAAUACGUCUCAGUUCGGAUUGUAGUCUGCAACUCGACUACAUGAAGCUGGAAUCGCUAGUAAUCGCAAAUCAGAAUGUUGCGGUGAAUACGUUCCCGGGUCUU
rnacentral:rRNA from 1 species